UCGGAUAAGGCUCCAUUUAUUGUAGCAAUUGACGUAGCAGCUCGUGAACUAGGUUGUAGUGGUCAAAGUUGUUGAAGACACAGUCGUGAUUUCUAUUGGAGAAUUUGUGGUCUAUAAUAUGAUUGCUGUAGCGAUUGAAACUUUCUGCACCAUCAUUAGUAUUAGCCGGAGCAUUAAAAACACUCACUUUAUCAGCAUUAGACAGCCAAGAAACAAUGAAGGAGGCAACAGAGGCACAUUCAUCAUUAAAGAUAAAAUGUACUGGGGAGUUUUUAAUUUAUGAAGUUGCCAAUUCCUAAUUAGAGCCUACAAUUAAAAUUACAUAAAAA
rnacentral:lncRNA from 1 species